UUUUUUUUUUUUGGUCUUUUUAGGGCCGUACCUGCAGCAUAUGGACGUUCCCAGGCUAGGGCUUGAAUCAGAGCUGUAGCUGCCAGCCUAUGCCACAGCCACAGCAACAAGGGAUCUGAGCUGCGUCUGCGACCUGCACCACAGCUCAUGGCAACACUGGAUCCUUAACCCAUUGAGCAAGGCCAGAGAUCAAAGUUGCAACAUUAUGGAUACUAGUUGAGUUCAUUACCACUGAGCCUCGAUCGGAACUCCUCCCCUCCCUUUUUUUUUUUAAAGACAGGCUGCAUCCUCCUUCCCUUGCUGAAGAAUUAGAGGUGCCAGGAAGGGUCCUGGAGGUGGAGGGGAGUGUGUCAGUCCUACAGGGCUGGGGAAGGCCUCUUAGAGAUGGUGAUGUUUGGUUUGAACUGUGAAAGAUUAGUAGGGUCUCCAGACAGGGGACCUGUGAGCCUGUGAGGGGCAGAUAGGCAGAAUGUGGCAGACAAAGGGAGCAAGAGGAAUCGCAGAGUGUAAGGGAUUGGAGGUGAGUGGGGAGGCCAGGCCAGAGGGAUCUGACUGAUGUCUUGCAGGUAAUGGGGGAGCCAGGAGGUUGCCAGAUAGGGGAGUGCUGUGAGCAGGUGUAGAGCUGGACUACAGACAUGAGGCUGGGAUUACAGCUACCGGGAGAAUAAGAUUCUGAGCUGGGGUCUGUGGGGGCACGGAGGUCCCCAGGCCUUAACAUAGUGUCUAUUUAAUUCUCAUAAGCCCACAUUCAUUUCCAUCUUGCCAUCACCCAAGCCUCCAAGUCUUGGGCCCCCAUCAUCUCUGGCCUGAAAGACUAUGGCAGCCUCUUCACUGGGCUUCCCUUCUGCACACCCCCACCCACAACAGCCCAUUCCUCAUAAAGGACAAAACAGAAGGGGUUUACAAAACAUUACCAUGGUGACUCUACCCCCCUGGCUAAGACCCUUCAAUGACACCCCACUGCCUUGAGCAUCAAGACCAAAUUUGAAUUCUUAACUUGGCAUUCCAGGCCCUUAGCAAUCAGCCCCUACACCCAUUAUGUGCAGCCUCCUCUCCCUAAAACAUUCCAGCUGACCUGGGCUAGUUACAAUCUCAGUCACCGGCCUCUUAGCCUUUGUCCUCUCCCACCUCUCCAUCCACUAUGGAUAUGCCAUCUUAGCCUUUAAGUAGCAGGUUAAAGCUACCAAGUCUAAGUCACCUUUCCAAUCCUUGUCCUCAGUGCCCUGCUUUUGAUGGCUCUUCAGCUUGUUUCAACAACCACUGGGCACCUGCUUUGUGGCAUGCAGUGGGGGGGUGAAAUACCUGGGGCUGGUGUAGCACCCAGGUCAAGGCAGAGUACUGAAGCUGGGAGAGCUCAUGGCUCCAUCUUUUUUUUUUUCUCUUCUCUUGGAGUUACCGUUGUGGCUCAGUGGGUUAAGAACCCUACAUAGUGUCUGUGAGGAGGCCAGUUUGAUCCCUGGCCUUGCACAAUGGGUUAAGGAUCUGGCACUGCCGUGAGCUGUGGUGUAUAUAGGUUGUAGAUGCAGCUUGGCUGUGGUGUAGCUACAGCUCCGAUUCGACUCCUAGCCUGGGAACUUCCACAUGCUACAGGUGUGGCUGUAAAAAGGAAAGGAAAAAAAAAAGUGGGGGGGGGUGGGAGUUAUUCUCAAAAGAAAUACCGCCUGGGAGUUCUUGCUGUAGCACAGCAGGUUAAGGACCUGACAUUAUCUCUGUGGCCGGCAUGGGUUCAAUCCCUGGCCAGAUGCAGUGGGUUAAGGAUCCAGCAUGGUUUCACCUCAGAUGUGAUCCCUGACCCGGGAACUUCCAUAUCCUUGAGUAUGGCCAAAACAAAACAAAAAAACCCCAAAACAAAAACAACCCCCCCUAAUCCAGACACCAGACUCCAGCAGGGAUAUGCUGGGACAAAGGUGAAUCCUCAAAGACAUUACAUAUUGGCAGAGUUGUGAUGGCAGCCUCUGUGUACAGGGGCUUCUAGGUGCUAGGCUCUGUGCUAGGGGUGACUCCCAUAUGACCAUAUUUCAUCUUACAACAACCCAGUGGUGUAGGGACCACCAGUGGUGUGGGGACCACAGCACCCCUGAUUUACACACAAAGAACCAGCAGUUUAGCAAGCAAGUGCUUUGCUCUGAGUCACAUGGCUGGAUCUACAGCUGGCACCAAGAGCUACCUGCUGUCAAAAAUACAUUGAUGAGGCAGAUCUGUGGCAUCCUCUGGUAAAGGAAACCAGCCCAGGUCUGGAGGACAGUGGCAGCUAUAACAAAGGAGGGAGCAAGGGCAAGCCCUGGGGCUGCAGGAUGGGAGAUGGGACAGUAAGAAAGAGCCAUGGAAGCACAGCAUGAGGCGGAAGAUGGAUCAGGUGUGGACUUUUCAGAGCUAAGCCCUUGGAAGGUAGGUGGUGGGGAUGCUGAGUCCCGAUUAUUUCUGGAACUCAAUGGGGGCAGACGGGCAGCCUCAGAAAAAGUUGGUGCAAAAGGGAAGGCAAAAGUUGCUGGAGUGGAACUCUCUGGUGCCUUAGUGGUUAAGGAUUCCUUGUUGUCACAACUUGUGGCAUAGGUUCGAUCCCUGUCUGGGGAACUUCUGCAUGCCCCAUGCGAGGCCAAAAAAGUUGCUUGGGUAUGCACCCAGGAUAGGAAUCUGGUUUGUGAAUGGAGGCAAGAGGUAGCAAAUCUGAUUCUGUCCACAAGAGGGUGCCCAGCACCAGGCAAUGAAGCUGCCCUGGGACUUGGGGGUGGUUUGUUGCUGGUUCCCCAGCCCUCCUGGGAGGGAAGAAGUGGAGAAGGGGAUAAACCCAAUUCACUACCUUGAAAUUCCAGCAUCAGAAACAAGCACAGAUGGAAAGGAUGAAUUUAGGUCGGUGAGUGUUUUCUCACUGAGACCCUUAUCAUCUCAGGCCAGUUAUUUCCCUUUAUAUUGAGAAACACAAGUCAGUAGGUUUCUUGACUGCAUCCUUGGUAAAAUUUGAACGGUCUCUUCCUUUGAAACAUACCUUCCAAAUGGAACAACUAUUUCCUAUUUUCCAUCUCCCUGUGUCUCUACGACAAGGAAUCAUACAGUAAUACAUAUAUCAAACAGUAGUGCAGUAUUUCAAUAAUUGCAAUUUCCAGGAUUCUAUUUUCAAAUCUGCCUAGUCUCUCAGGUUUUGCUCAUUUUUUUUAGCACCAUCUUUAGAGGUUUCAGAGUUAUUUUAUAUUCUGUGCCUGAUAAUAACAGUAUCUGAAAUUCCACGGGUUUUAUUUAUUUACUUACUUAUUGGCUGCAACUGUAGCAUGUGGAAGUUUCCAGGCCAGGGUUUGGACCUGUGACACAGCAGCAACCCAAGCUGCUGCAGUGACAAUGACGGAUCCUUAACCUGUUGGACCACAAGAGAACACCAGGAAGUAUUUUAUUGUUGCUCCAAGUUUAAGAAUUUUCACUGAGAGAAAAUCAACACUUUCAGCAAAUUUCCCUCAUGGCUCUGCUUCUGAAUCUUGGUUUUCACAGACAUAUUUCUCUCCAAUAUGGACAAUCAUUCUACUCACGAUUGGCGCAUCAAUCUUAACUUCCAAUACUUGCCCUUUACUUAGGAAGCUCUUCAGGACUGUUUUUAAUCCAGUAAGAGUGGCUUCAUCGAAAGGAGAUGUAGUGAUAACUGCAAGGUACUUCUCCAGUGUGGACAGACAUCAUGGUAGAAAAAGCAGAAAUGACUCCAGGGUUAUUGCUCAAGCGACCAUUUUCAGCAAGCAAAUUGAUCAGGUUGGCUGUGAGGGGAGAAAACCUCUCUUUUGCUAUCAUGUCAUAUAGGCUUUUCACUUUAAUGCAAUGCUUUACAUAGGGAUUCAUAAUAGGAGCAACCAAGUUUUCCUUCAAGAUUUGUGCUACUCCCAACAAUUCCUUUGCUACUUGUUCCAGUUUAUUCUGAUUAGAAACAGCAGAUUAAAGAGCAGUGACAUAGUGACCUUCGAUACCACAUAUGUGAACAGGUGGCCUGACCACGGAUGUACUGAAGUAUUAUUGCCCCUGCUGGGAGGUCAGGACACUGCUGGGCAGCCUCC
rnacentral:lncRNA from 1 species